rnacentral:lncRNA from 1 species
AGUGUCUCCGCGGAGGGGCCCGGCGGGAACAAACAGCCGCCGCGGCGGGAGCUCGGCUCCGGUGCCGGAGGCGGGUCCUCCUCUUCCCCGCAGAUCCCGCAAACCUUUCGCUCCCUGGAGCCGCUGCCUUCACUGCGUUCGGCCCCUGGAUGUUAAAGUUCACGCGGACGCCAGCGGGAGCCGGGAGAAGGAGCGACAGCGCCCACCCAUCGUCGCCCCAAGGCAGAGACAGCGCCCGGGCCACCAAGGCCGAAGCGCAGUCGGAGCUGGAGCGGGAGCCUGAGACGCCCAGACCAGCGCCGCCCGAGGAGAGCGGGGCCCGCCGGCGCCCGAGCGGCUUCCGGCCCAAGGGGAGACGCACUUGAGUGAUCGCGAGGAGCGAACUUGGCACUCUCAGCCUCGGGCCUCGGAGAGGCUCUACAGACGGACAGCAAGGACCCCCACGGAGACCUCCAGUGAACCCUGACCUUAGCCCCGGGCCAGUGUUGCCUCCAUCUCUGAGCAUCCUGUGCUCACAAGCCUCAGUUUCCCGCUGUGCAUAGUAGUUAAGAGCAAGGAUCCUGGAAUCAGGCUACUGCAUCCUGGCUUCACUACUCACCAACUCUGUCACCUUGGAUAAACUCUUCAUGCCUGUUGCUUUCUCUCUAAAGUUGAGAUUAAAAACACCUACCUCUUGAUUAAUAUGUAAAAAUAGCCCUCACAUUCGCCUACUUAUGAGAGGGUAUGGAGAGCACAUUGCAGACUCUUGGGCAGAGAGAAGGUGGUUGGGGGUGGUGUAGUCUCCCACCUGGAUCUCCAGGCCUGGUCUAGCUCCCCACUGGGUUACCGCUGCCACCUGAUCCUCCUCAGUCACUGUGCUGAAUUAGAUCCCCUGUAGAUAAGCGCUGGGAGCAGGGGGGAGGGAAUUUGCAGCCCCUGCAGGCGCUCUCCCAGCAGGGCUGGUGUGCGUGUGGAUGAAUCCUCCCUUUUAUCCAACAGCAACCUCCAGUCUAUGGAAUAAUCUGGUGUAAAUCGAACUCCCUCAUUCCACAGGUGGGUCAAGAGAGGCCCAGAGAGGGGAAGGGGCUCACCUAGGCUCCUGCGACAAGAUAGAGCAGGGCCGGGGACAACCCUUGUCACAGAAUCCUCAUGAUAGAGUUCUCUAUCCUCCCAAGCCAGAAGAGGAUGGAAGGCAGGUCUGGCUGCUCAUGUCCUGUGAGAGCAAGUCCUCUGGGCUGCUCUCUGGGGCCUCAGACCGAGGGGAUCUAUCUAAUGUGCUGGGUUUGGAUAAACACACUGUUCUUAGGAAAAAGAGAAGAGGUCCAGUGCUCAAACCAUGGACAGGCAAUUGGGCAGGGACUAGUGGCCUGGAAUCAGAAUUUCUUAGGUGAUAGGGCUCUCCAGAAAAAAGGGGCCUUGGAGAACAGUUUCUUGCAUGAAUCCAGAUAAACUUACAUGCCUAGGGCUGCUAGAUUUGGCAGAUUUAUUUUAUUUGCCAACCCUACACUUACCCCAGGCUUGCUCAUUGCUACAUGGAGAUCUCUCUCCCACUCAUAGACACCCC